GAGCCCCAGACAGUGGGGCCUCCAGUCCAGGAGAUUUCUGGGUUCUUUGUGUUUUGAGGCAUCAGGGUGAAGUCGACUGGCAGCAAAUUUUACCCACCCCAGGACUCAGGGGGCGAGGGGAGGGCCUCCAGCUGGUGGGACUGCAGCCCUGGGAGAGGACCUCUCCAGCAAGCGCAACUCGCCCCAGACUCUACUUUCUCUCUAGGAAAAGGCCACUGGCACCAGGUGGGUGUUACCCCCCGCGCGAGGGUAUGAACCCCUCGACCUUGAACUGACACCCCUAGGAGACUUCGAGCUCCGCGGAUCCAAAGAGCUAGCUGUCAGCCGCGGAGGAGAGCGGCUCUGGGGUGGGCGCCCCCACUCUCUUCCCUCCCCAUCCCCGGCCCAGCGCCCCUCGCGCCCCGGCCCCGCAGGCUCACCAUCGCGGCUGCUCCAGUAGCCCGUUCGCUCCCGCCUGGGCCUGCCCACCCCAACUGCUCCAGAUACAGCCGCCUCCGCUGUUGUGACACCAGGAGGGAGGGUGCCGGGGACAGGCAUACUGGGCCAGCAGCUGCCCCGCAGCAUCACAGAGCCGGGGAGGGAGGGACCGGACAGGUCACAAUCGCUCCGCCCCACCGGCCCGCCGGCGGCUCGGUCUCCGCCAGGGGAGCAGCGCGCGGGGGUGGGGUGGAGGGCCGGUUCCUGCACUAUGCUCUGCACGAUCAUACUUUGUGAACCCAGCCGCCCAAGAAGGAAAUGGAAAGUGCUGUUUGAGCCCUGCCCACCAAACCCCGAGUGACUCCAGGCAAAUCCACAGCUUUUCUGCAAGGUGCCACCACACACAGCUGCUCUGGCAGGAUGUGAUGACUCGCCAAGUGUCCCAGCACACAGAUCCACCUUCCCUUCCUGAC